UUUGUUUUUUAAUUAAAAACUAGAAUGAAAGAUUUUACAUUUUAAUUUCUUUAUUAAAUAUAAUAUAUAAAUUUAUACUAAAUAUAAAAAUAUAUUUAUAAUAUAAAAAGACGACAAGACCCUAUUAAAUUUUACUUAUUGUUUAGCUGGGGCAGCUUUUUAAAUAAAAUUUUAAAAUUAUUUAUAUAUUAAUAAAAAUCUAAUAUAAUUAAAUUAAUCCAAUUACUAUAGGGAUAACAGCGUUAUAUUUUUUUCAAGUUCAUAUUAAAAAAAAUCAUUGCGACCUCGAUGUUGAAUUAAUAUUUCUUUAUUAAUGCAACAAUUAUAAAA
rnacentral:rRNA from 1 species